UGUGCCACUACGCGACACGAGGCCCCUGAGAAACGUGUGCUCCUGUGACUUCUAAGGUAGCAAGACCUCAGAAGUCACCUGCCUGAGACCUCCAGGAGACGCAUGCAGUGGGGAACAGCAAGGUUGGGGUCAGCUGUUCCAUGAUGGGGAGCAGAGCCAGGUAGGAGGACCUGGCUGGUGGUUCAGAGGAAGGCCUUGAUGGGGACACGAUGGCUCAACUCCUCAUCUCCCACUGGCUGCUGGGAGGGGCCAUCCUGUAGCACCCUGGAAACAUCCCACAGGAAUAAAGCCAGGAGAGCAUUUAGCUUCACUUGGACUGUUGAAGCUUUUUUAUGGUCCCCAUCCCACCUUGGUCUCUCUCCUGUUUCUUGGUCUUCCUCUUGGCCUGUCCUUAUAAACUUUUUGCCCCUCUGACACCGUGUCCCCAGCCCAUACAAUUUCCUGUGCCUUUCUGAGGUGAUUUAAACACAAGCCCAGGUGCAGCUGUCAUCUCUUGUCAACGCCCACAGCGAAGGAACAGGAGGGACAAAGGAAAUAACUGUGUGACCUCUGUUCAAUCUGGCUAGAACAGGGGAAUAAUGGUUGUGGUUGAUGGUGACAUUCCAUUUGAGUGCCUGGGUCAACGAGGCUUCAAGACGAUGAACGAUGAACAACCGAGUGAUGCUUGUGGAGGCACCGAGGGUCAGCCUGGCGCUGGAGUCAAGGAAGCAUGUGCUCACAAAGCAUGCAUUACCGCUGUGCCUGCUAUUUGCUGUGUGCUGGUCAUGGCUCUUGACACUUCACUGGUGCGGCCUCACUCGGCAGCCCUGCAGAAUGUUCACACUGUUCGCAGGUAAGAAAUGGAGGGCCAGGUUAUUGGAGCGUGCUGCUGGUCCUCACAGUUUGCUAAGAGAUGUGACUACCAGCUGUCAAUCACAGCCUGUGCUGGGUAGCGCAUUCUGCAUCCGAGGAGCCCAGUAUUAGUGGGACAGGGUGGACAGCCUUCUGCUACAAUUAUAGAUCCCAGGCUGGGCAUCUUCUUAGGUCAGUUCACAUACCUGGUGACUGCAGCCCAGGACAGCAGCCUUGCAGAUGGGGCUUAUGCUGGCCUCUGAGGCUUAAAACCUUCUGCUAAAGCCUCUGUUCCCUACGGUAGGUGUAUGCAUGUGUGUUUGUCUGUAUGUACGCAGAAACCACAUUUGGGUGCAAAGGUGUAUUCGCAUAUAUGGGUAUGUGUAUUUGUAUGUGUGUAUAAACGUUUGCACAUAGCUCCUGGGGCCUCAUAACCUGGAUUUGUAUCCCAGAUCAGUCACUGGCUAACCCAUAACUUCAAGUCAAUGAUACAAUUUUUGGAUGCUUCUGUGUCCUCCUUUGUCCCAUGGUAGCCAUCAUGUCCCUCCUCACAGGGCUAAUUGGAGAUGCUUUGUUUCCAUGACACUCGGAGAAGGGGGAGUUUGACACAAGAUCAGUGCUGGGCAAACAUCAGUCAGUGCUGGGUCCUGUGACCCUUUGUCCCCUGAAUGCACAGUUCUAUUCCCAGAGUGACUGCCGUGAGUAUCUGGCUCCUAUGAAGGAGAAAGGGAGGUGCAUCAUGGCCCAACUAAGCUGGCUGGCCUUGAACAGGUGUGUCACCUCCUUGGGCCUUGAUUUCCUCUUCCAAGAAAUGGGAUUGACCGUCUGCUUACAGGGAGGGAGAAGCCAGUGGGGAGUGAGCACUUGGAGUGUGCCUCAGUGUAGUGAUAUUUCAUUUGUAGUUUAAUAAAUAAAUCUGGCCUUAAGAUCAGAGAGUAAAACAGCCACACUGAUCAGCCUUACAGACCAGGCAGUGGUGACACACACCUUUAAUCCCAGUAGCCACACUUGUUUGCCAUAGAAACCAGGCAGUAGUGGUACAUGCCUUUAAUCCCAGCCCUAGAGAGGGAUAGAAGACAGGAGGAGACAGCUGUCAUUCACAGUCUCAUUCCAAGAUUCCUGGAGGGAAGAUCUCCAUUUUGGACUGAGGUUGAGGUAAGAGCCAGUGACUGGCUGCUGUGUUUUUCUGACCUUCAGGUUGAACCCCAAUAUUUGUCUCUGAGUUUUUAUUAACCGUGCUUCACCUCGCCUCUCUGAUCUCCACCCAUUUUCCAACUCAUUAUUCCAGGCUCUGUUCUUGAGCUCCUGCUGCAAGACCCCUCCCCUGGACCCUUCCUCGAGUGUGUAAUGUGCUCAGACAGCCUGAUGCAGCUCUUGGUCAUCCCCUGUGCUGACAAUCAGCACCCUCCAGGUGCAGCCGGAUGCCAUCACCUGCCCAAGCUCUGGGAAUCCUGACAGGCCAGGUUGGGCCACCUGUCCUCAUCACACGGAUUAAGGAGACGAGCAGGAGUGAAAAGCAGAGAAGGGAGAUGUGUUCAUUGUGGCCGCAUUGGGAAGUGACCCCCAUGUCUGUUUUGGCGGGCCCUGAUAGGAAGUUUAUCUUUCCAGAGAGUGGCAAGAGGUCUGUGCAGCUCAGCAGUUCUGGCCAAGGACUGGAAGGCCCUGUCCAUCAUGACCCACAGCUGUUCUGGCUCUGGCCUGUCCCCACAGAGCAGUCUGAGUCGGGGUAUCUUGUAGCCGAAGCUGGCCAUGCAGCUGAGGAUGACCUUGACCGUCUGAUUUUCCUGUGUCCUAUGCUGGGAUUCCAGGUGUGAGACACCACUCCUACUUUACACGGCAUUGGCACCGGGGUGGAACCCAGGGUUUGUGAAUGUCGGGUGAACACUCUAGCAACUGAAGCCCAACCUCAGCCCCACAAUGUUGUUCUCCUGUGACUGUCCUGCUAUGAGAGUGUGGUCUUUGGACUGUAAUGGAGGAUGGACACGGAGGAACACUGUCUGCCGUUGUCGGAGAAUGCAUCUUGGUUGUAAACAUGUCCCUGCCUCUUAGUCAUCUCUGACAAGAUGAGGUUUUCCUUCUUGGGAUAGAUGAAGGAGCCGCAAACCUGGAGAGGAAGCCCAGACUCAGAGAUGGAUGUGUCCCAGGUUUGCCUCCUCAGGCUGUUUGACCUGGGGCAGAGGUACCAGUUCUUAAGAGCUGGGGUGGGGUGGAUUGUGAAGUCUGAAACUCCAGUGUUUAAUGGUUUUAUUUCCAAGAUGAGGAAACUGGGGUCUGGAGAUGUGACCCUGUGGGUAACCCAGGGACUCCAUAUGGGGACAUUUGGGGGCCCAUUUGACCUCAGCCUCCAGCCACACAGACCCUCCUCUUGCAGCCUCUGUGUCUCAAGGAGAUUGGAGGAGAAUCCUGGAGUCCUUCCCACUUUGGGAGGACUGACAGGCUCCAUCACACCUCUCCUAAUACCCCCAAACCCAUCGUCCUGUGUCCCCUACUAUGGACAGUGCCCCACUGGCAACAGCGAUGUCAGUGAACCAUAUCACAUUCCAGAUUCACUCAUGGAGCCUGCUGGUACGUGCUGCCUUAACUUCUGCCCCCAAGACAGACAGCUGCUCCCACGUUAGACUUUUCACGGCCAUAACAAACACCUGACAGACACAGAACCUAAGGGAAGAAGCUUUGGCAUGGUCAGAGGUUUCAGUAUACGAUCCUCAAUUCUGUUGAUUCUGGGCUCUCACUUAGACAGGGCAUCAUUGCAGAUAGGAAUGAGGGGGCAGGGGGCAGGAAGGGGGAGAAAAUGAGAACAGUCUUCAAAGGUCAUGUUAGUGACCUGUUUUCCUGGUUAUGCCCUACCUCCUAAAGGUUCCAGAACCUUCCUAAACAGCACUACUGGUGGGGACCAGUCGUUCAAUGUAUGAGCCUGUGAGGACAUUUAAGAUUCAAGCUGUUGGAGAAUUGCCACGAGGAAUUGAGCCAGGCAAUAUUCUGUAGCCAUAAAGAAUGGCUCAUCCCCACCGUGAUGGUUCAGCUCCACUGCAGAAACAAUACACCCGGUAUUGAAGACAGCUCAUUCUGUUUCCACUCAAACCACACAGGAAAAGCUGUAACUUCCUGGUAAGUCCCCACGUCGAAGUGUAGCUACCCACAGAAAGGUUGGGGUCCUUCCCUGUUCCGAUACAUCACCAGUCUCAGCCUGUAGAGAUCGAGUCUGUCUGCCUGUCUGCCAGUCUGCCAGUCUGCCUGUCUGCCAGUCUGUCAGUCUGCCUGUCUGCCUGUCUGCCUCGUUUUUCUUACAUAAGCCAUAGCAGCCUCUGAGCAUGUAUUCCCCCCUGGGGUUUGACUAUGUGGAGCCAAUGCUUAAAGUAACAAUUGACUCAAUAGAGGGAAACAGAGAAAGGUGUGUGUGGCUGGGCCCGAGUCAGUAAGCAAUGUCAGAAGAUCAGAGGGGUCUCCAGGGCCUGUAUCUCUCUGAGUCUGUGGGACGCUGGGUUUCACUCUGUGGGGAGGGAAAGUGACUGAGGAUGGGAGAGGGAAAGCAUUGGGAUCUUGCUGUCUUUAGAGUCAUGUUGGCCUUCAUUUCCUUUCUGCAUUUGUUUGAGUGACUAUUUGGUUAAUACACUCCCUGCAACCUGUCCUCAGAAGAACUAUCCAUUACAUAGGAACCAUAAUAAGUUUCUUCGCCGUUGCUCGGUGUGGUGAUGGUGCUAUAUGAACACUGGUGACAGAGAUGAGGAAGGGGAAGAAGGGUUAACCUUGACGCAGGACUCGUCCUGUGUCUGCUUUUGAGAAUGGGAGCCCCACAUCUGCAGAGAGCGUGUUAACUUCGGACAGCAGAAGAGCUCUUCUGCAUGCAACCGCACUGAGCGUGGAGGUGACUUUGUGCUGAGCAAGAACAAGUAACCAAUUGUGAGCGAGCACUCAGCCAAAGGCCUUCGUGGUUGUGGGCACAAUGCUGUCUAUCACCACCAGAGACAGAGGUGUUAAAGGGAUAGAUUGCAGACAUCUGGUGUUGCAGUUAGUGACUUAGGCAGAAGCCAGCUCUAAAACCACGGCCACCUGCCUAAAGAUUAGGGAGUGUCCCACCCCUCCCGCUCUCUCCUCACCCUCCUCCUUGUCCACCUCUUCUGCUCUUCCUCCCUUCCUUUCCUUUUCUCUCUCACCUUCCUCUUCCUUCUGUUCUUCCUCAUCUCCUUCCUCCCCUUCUUCCUCUUUUUCUUGCCCCCUCCUCUUCUUCCUCCUGUAAGCCCCCCUUCAUUUCUUGCUCCUCCUUUUCCUCUUUUCUCUGACGGAAUCUUGCUCUAUAGCUCACGCUGCCUCAACCUUGUAAUCUCCCUGCCUCAGCGUCUGCAGUGCUGAUUCUCAGGGGUGCCAACACAUUUGGCUUUGCCAUUCUUUGGAACCACAUAGAAACUUACAUUAACUCCACACCAUGGAAGCAGCUGCGCUAACCAUAGGGUCCGAGGUGUUGUCUACCAUUGGUCAUGUCUGGACCAGUUAGGGGCUCUGAGGGUAUUAGUCAUGGGCACACACACACACACACACACACACACACACACUUUUCAGUCAGAAUCUUGUGACAUUAGGACCAGGAACUUCAUGAAAUAAGAGGUUGGAAUGGCUCAUGACUGGAGGACCCACAUUUGGCCCAGAGAUCAGUUGAUGAAGGAGUCUUGGUCAGAUGUCAGCACCCUCUGUUGAUGCUCUGGGUAAUGAAUGGGGUGUCAGUAUUGGUGUCCAGAGAGUGAUCUGGCCAUGUGAGCAGCUUUGUGGGCUGAGAGCUUUGGACUGUUUGGUUGUAUAACUGCUUUAAAUGAUGUGUGUGCAUGUGGUAUGUGAUGUGUGUAUAUAUGUGUGUGUAUGAGUAUGAUGUGGAUAUGUAUGUGUGUGUGUGAUAUGUAUGUAUGUGUGAUAUGUGUGUGUGUGUAAAGUGUGUGUGCACUUGCGCCAUGAAGGAUAUGUAGCAAUCAGGUCAGAAUGCAAUCCAGGCCUCUGUUCCUGACUCCCUUCUCCUCUGAGUCAGGGUCUUUUUUGUGUUUUGGUGCCGUGUGCUCCCAGCACCUGGCCUAAGUCUUCUUUUACCCCCAUAUAGAAAUUUACCCGUCUAUUCCUGCCAUGUUUUAUUUUUAGAUUUAUUUUAUGUAUGUGUUUGAGUGUUUUCCCUGCAUGUAUAACUAUGUGCCUACAGAGGCCAGAAAAGGAUGUUGGGUCCCCUAGAACUGGAGUUAUAGAUAGUUAUGAGUUGCCGUGUAGGUGCCAGGAACCAAGCCCUGACCUCUUCCAGAACAGUCAGGGAGUACUCUUAACCGCUGAGUCAUCUCUUCAGCUCCUGUUCCACCAAGCUUCCUGUAGAAAUGUCAGGAUUACAGACCCAUUUCUCUCCUGGCUUCUGGGAAUUUGAACCCAGGUUCUCACAUAAGCUUGGUAAGUGCUUUUAUCUACUGGGCCAUUUCCUAAACCCUGUGGCUUUCUCAUUUCCAAGUCUGCUUCUGGCUUCUCCAGGGAUUGCGCAGCUGGCUUCUCUGUCUUAGGAAGUCCUGCUUCUGUAUGUAUCCAUAAGAAUGAUCCUGCUGCCAACAGAACGAAUGAUCUAUCCACAGUGCAGGAAUAGGGAAGUGCCUACCGACCAGAGAGGCAGAUGGCCAAGGAUGUGCCUGUGCCCGAGAUGCACUGUGCUGCUGGGACCAGGUCAGACAGCCAAGCAGGGCAGAGGUUGUUGCUCACCCACGCUCUCUUUCACCGAGUUCUUCAAGAAGCAUCUCUGAGGUAUCAACCAUUCCAGGCACCAGGGAAUAAGGAUGGACAAGGCAGAAAGCCCCUGUCUUCAGAGAGCUUCCACUACGGUUGCCGGGUGUGGGAGCCAGACAUCUCUGUUGCUGGGACAAACACCGGUGGGAAAUAGUUUCAAGGUGGAAGGGCAUCUUUUGAUUCACGGGUUCAGAGAUUUACAUCAUGGCAGC